rnacentral:tRNA from 1 species
UGGGCGGUUAGCUCAGCUGGGAGAGCGCGGCAUUCGCAUUGCCGAGGCCGAGGGUUCGAGCCCCUUACCGUCCAU